GAUGAACGCUGGCGGCGUGCCUAAUACAUGCAAGUCGAGCGAACGGACGAGAAGCUUGCUUCUCUGAUGUUAGCGGCGGACGGGUGAGUAACACGUGGAUAACCUACCUAUAAGACUGGGAUAACUUCGGGAAACCGGAGCUAAUACCGGCUGAUAUUUUGAACCGCAUGGUUCAAAAGUGAAAGACGGUCUUGCUGUCACUUAUAGAUGGAUCCGCGCUGCAUUAGCUAGUUGGUAAGGUAACGGCUUACCAAGGCAACGAUGCAUAGCCGACCUGAGAGGGUGAUCGGCCACACUGGAACUGAGACACGGUCCAGACUCCUACGGGAGGCAGCAGUAGGGAAUCUUCCGCAAUGGGCGCAAGCCUGACGGAGCAACGCCGCGUGAGUGAUGAAGGUCUUCGGAUCGUAAAACUCUGUUAUUAGGGAAGAACAUAUGUGUAAGUAACUGUGCACAUCUUGACGGUACCUAAUCAGAAAGCAACGGCUAACUACGUG
rnacentral:rRNA from 1 species